UACGUAGGGCGCAAGCGUUAUCCGGAAUUAUUGGGCGUAAAGAGCUCGUAGGCGGUUUGUCGCGUCUGCCGUGAAAGUCCGGGGCUCAACUCCGGAUCUGCGGUGGGUACGGGCAGACUAGAGUGAUGUAGGGGGAGACUGGAAAUUCCUGGUGUAGCGGUGAAAUGCGCAGAUAUCAGGAGGAACACCGAUGGCGAAGGCAGGUCUCUGGGCAUUAACUGACGCUGAGGAGCGAAAGCAUGGGGAGCGAACAGG
rnacentral:rRNA from 1 species